rnacentral:rRNA from 1 species
UACGUAGGGGGCUAGCGUUGUCCGGAAUCAUUGGGCGUAAAGCGCGUGUAGGCGGCCCGAUAAGUCCGCUGUGAAAGUCCAGGGCUCAACCCUGGGAUGCCGGUGGAUACUGUCGGGCUCGAGUCCGGAAGAGGCGAGUGGAAUUCCUGGUGUAGCGGUGAAAUGCGCAGAUAUCAGGAAGAACACCGAUGGCGAAGGCAGCUCUCUGGGACGGUACUGACGCUGAGACGCGAAAGCGUGGGGAGCGAACAGG